rnacentral:rRNA from 1 species
UACAGAGGGUGCGAGCGUUAAUCGGAAUUACUGGGCGUAAAGGGUGCGUAGGUGGUUACUUAAGUUAGGUGUGAAAGUCCUGGCUUAACCUGGGGAUUGCGCCUGAUACUGGGUAGCUAGAGUAUUGUAGAGGAUAGCGGAAUUCCCGGUGUAGUGGUGAAAUGCGUAGAUAUCGGGGAGGAACACCAGUGGCGAAGGCGGCUAUCUGGGCUGAAACUGACGCUGAGGCGCGAAGGCUAGGGGGAGCAAACAGG